CUUCCUGGCUUGGCGGGCUCACGUCAUCAAGUUCAAAUUAAUGCAAUGAAGCAGAUGAGGUGGACAGGCUGUAGAGCUGAGCAGCAGAGGUCCCUCCUGCCAGGGCGUGGCCACGCUGUCGUCCCUCUUUCCAUCCUGCUGCCUCCCUAGUUUCCCCAGCCUUCAAGACUGGACUCUGCAGAGUGGGAUGUGGGAAGCACAUGUCUUUAUUUUAGAAAACCACAUUUCAUCUGGAGUUUCCAGGCAGGAGUUCCCCACGUAGAGAAUGUAAAAGACGAACAACAGGUGUGGCUUGCUCCCAGUGGACUGCAGAGCAUUGCUUCUCACACGUGCCAGGAGGAUGGGUUUAUGGAUCACCUCAUCUAGGUCUAAGGAAAUCAUUCCCUUCAAAAAGUGGGUUGCAAAGAGUCCUGAGAAGAAGAUUGGAGAUUGAAGAUGUUACACGUAAUGCAAACAGGUGCUAGCAACAAGAAAACCAACAGAACUUCCCGUGCCCAGGACAAGUUCUUCACCAGCUACAUUAAAUAGUAAAAACAGCCAGACACAUCAAAAAGAUUCUAACUGGGUUUGACAAGAAGUGGGCAAAAAGUGUCAGCCUUAUUAAGAAGCCUACAUGAGAUAUGGAUUUACACUCUCUAUUCUGUUUGAAAAUCAGUGGUAUUGAGGGGUAGUUUACAUAGAACAGCAUGCACUCAUUUUAAUAAUCUGUAGAUGUGUUUGACAAGUCACCUGGGUAAUCGCCCCCAUAAUCAGGAUAUGUUAUGAUUUCUUCAUCCCAAAGGGUUCUUCCCUGUUUCUUUGUCUUCCCCACUUUUAGCCCUAGGUGAAUAUUGAUCUGCUUUCUCUUCUGUCCGUGUGAUGAAUUUCAUACAAAUGGAAUCACACAGUUUGUCCUCUUUUGUGUCUGGCUUUUUUCGCUCAGCAUAAGGACUUGGAGAUUCGUUCCUGUUGUGUGUAUAGAUAGAUAAAGUCUUUCUUACUGUGAAGUAGUGUUCCAGUGUUAGGCUAUGCCACAAUUGUUCUUUCACCCAUCUGUUGAUGGAACUUUUGUACCCAGAUUUAGCUCCUAUGAAUAAAGUGUUACAAACAAUCAUGGACACAUUUGUGUGUGUGUGAACCUAAUUUUUCAAUCUCUUGGAUAAUACCUGGGAAUGGAAAUUCUUGGUAAGUGCAGGCAGGGAACAGCCAAACUAUUUUUCAAAGUGGUUGUACCAUUUCACGCUCUGCCAAUAAUAGAUGAGAGUUAGUUGGUUUCCCC
rnacentral:lncRNA from 10 species